rnacentral:rRNA from 1 species
CCUACGGGAGGCAGCAGUGAGGAAUAUUGGUCAAUGGCCGUAAGGCUGAACCAGCCAAGUCGCGUGAAGGAAGAAGGAUCUAUGGUUUGUAAACUUCUUUUAUAGGGGAAUAAAGGUAUCCACGUGUGGAUCUUUGCAUGUACCCUAUGAAUAAGCAUCGGCUAACUCCGUGCCAGCAGCCGCGGUAAUACGGAGGGUGCGCGCGUUAUCCGGAUUUAUUGGGUUUAAAGGGUGCGUAGGUGGUUUUUUAAGUCAGCGGUGAAAGUUUGUGGCUCAACCAUAAAAUUGCCGUUGAAACUGGAAGACUUGAGUGUGUUUGAGGUAGGCGGAAUGCGUGGUGUAGCGGUGAAAUGCAUAGAUAUCACGCAGAACUCCGAUUGCGAAGGCAGCUUACUAAGCCAUAACUGACACUGAAGCACGAAAGCGUGGGGAUCAAACAGGAUUAGAUACCCGGGUAGUC